rnacentral:lncRNA from 1 species
CCCAGGUCCAGUCUUGUGCCCCUCCGCCCCAGGUCCAGUCUUGUGCCCCUCCGCCCCAGGUCCAGUCUUGUGCCCCUCCGCCCCAGGUCCAGUCUUGUGCCCCUAGCCCCUCCGCCCCAGGUCCAGUCUUGUACCCCUAGCCCCUCCGCCCCAGGUCCAGUCUUGUACCCCUAGCCCCUCCGCCCCAGGUCCAGUCUUGUACCCCUAGCCCCUCCGCCCCAGGUCCAGUCUUGUACCCCUAGCCCCUCCGCCCCAGGUCCAGUCUUGUACCCCUAGCCCCUCCGCCCCAGGUCCAGUCUUGUACCCCUAGCCCCUCCGCCCCAGGUCCAGUCUUGUACCCCUAGCCCCUCCGCCCCAGGUCCAGUCCUGUGCCCCUCCACCCCAGGUCCAGUCCUGUACCCCUAGCCCCUCCACCCCAGGUCCAGUCCUGUGCCCCUACCCCAGGUCCAGUCCUGUACCCCUAGCCCCUCCGCCCCAGGUCCAGUCUUGUACCCCUAGCCCCUCCGCCCCAGGUCCAGUCUUGUACCCCUAGCCCCUCCGCCCCAGGUCCAGUCUUGUACCCCUAGCCCCUCCGCCCCAGGUCCAGUCUUGUACCCCUAGCCCCUCCGCCCCUGGUCCAGUCUUGUACCCCUAGCCCCUCCGCCCCAGGUCCAGUCCUGUACGCCUAGCCCCUCCGCCCCAGGUCCAGUCCUGUGCCCCUCCGCCCCAGGUCCAGUCCUGUGCCCCUCCGCCCCAGGUCCAGUCUUGUGCCCCUAGCCCCUCCGCCCCAGGUCCAGUCUUGUACCCCUAGCCCCUCCGCCCCAGGUCCAGUCUUGUGCCCCAGGUCCAGUCUUGUGCCCCUAGCCCCUCCGCCCCAGUCUUGUGCCCCUAGCCCCUCCGCCCCAGGUCCAGUCUUGUGCCCCAGGUCCAGUCUUGUGCCCCUAGCCCCUCCGCCCCAGGCCCAGUCCUGUGCCCCUCCGCCCCAGGCCCAGUCCUGUGCCCCUCCGCCCCAGGCCCAGUCCUGUGCCCCUCCGCCCCAGGCCCAGUCCUGUGCCCCUCCGCCCCAGGCCCAGUCCUGUGCCCCUCCGCCCCAGGUCCCAGUCCUGUGACCCUCCACCCCAGGCCC